UAACUUAGCCCUCUUUUGAACUUAGUUCCCUAUGAAUGCAAUGACCCCCAGAAGAUUAGCAUGGCCCCUGCACAAGGAUGACACACAAAUUUGUGAAGCGUUCCAUGUUUUU